rnacentral:misc_RNA from 1 species
GAACGCAAAUUGCGCUGUUGGGCAUUCCUGACAGCAUGCUUGGCUGAGUAUCAUCUGGACAAAUCGCAAAGGUUUUGCUUUUGCGGAUAUGAGGCGUCACAUUGUUGUUAAAGCGAUGGGUCCCUUUAAAUACAGUCAGGUGAAGAGGGCUGAUGUCCUUGCAACCACUAGUGUGUCAAUUGCCCUCGGGCAUUCAAUGCACUAUGUCGGCGGCUUGGGCGCUUAAAGUCAGUGUCUCCUAACCUUUACUCAAACUCAUCUGAAACUUUGAUCUCAGCUCAAGCAAGACUACCCGCUGAAUUUAAG